UGUGUACUCCCUCCAUUCCAAAAUACUUGACUUCCAUUUGUCCAAAAAUGGAUGUACCUAUAUACUAAAACAUGUCUAGAUACAUAUAUAUUUUGACAAAUAGAAGGCAUGUAUUGUGCAACGGAGGGAGUAGAAC
rnacentral:pre_miRNA from 1 species